GAAAAACUCUUUGUGAGCUGAUUAAUGUUCUACUCCUGCUCUCAAACAGAUGGAUUUCAUUUGCUAUUUUCCCUUCAUUCACGUUUUAAUUCGAGCGUUCCCAAAAAGCCUAUGCCAUGUCACUGCAGUAUAGGCUGCAUUUCUCCCCCUCCUUGCCAGCUUAUGAAUGCAGAGUAUGAUACAGGAAUCCUGGUGUCUUAGGGAGUGGUGAUUAUGAAGACAGGAUGGGCCUGUGGUGUAGCUCAGAUCAAAACCACAGCAAGCUUUGAAAAAUCAGCAUUACCUCAAACAGUGCUUGGAGAUGAGAUACAACAAAAGCAGUACCAGUACUGCACAGCAUCAUGAAUCUGAUAUUUCCUAACCUUCAAAUGCUUGACUAUGCAGUUUUGGGACUUCACAUGGAUUCAUGAUCUGGAUGCCAAAGUGUGAUCCAUAUUUCUCAGGUGUAGAUUGAAAUUUCAUCACUAUUUUCAUCACCAAGUACUUCAAGAAUCGAGUUUAAAACUAAACAUGGACUUCCUUUGCAAAAUUCAUGCAGGCAGAGAUUCAAGACUCUAAAAGUGAGUGCCAUCCCCAGACUGUCCACAUGCAUAUUUCAGAUGUCUUCAUUACGAAACAAGUAAUUUUCUAAAUGCAAUAAUGACAUGGAACAACCCUGUACACAGCACAGGUUAAAAAGAAAAAGAAGAGAGGAAAAAAAGUCACUCCUUCAGAGCAAGUAUGUGAAUACCAAAUUUCAGUCUGAAUGUUACUUGAAGCCUGAUGAUAUCCACUG